UACGGAAGAUGCGAGCGUUAUCCGGAUUUAUUGGGUUUAAAGGGAGCGUAGGCGGGCUUUUAAGUCUGCGGUAAAAUGGCCAGGCUCAACCUGGUCCUGCCGUGGAAACUGGGGGCCUUGAAUGUGCACAAGGAAGGUGGAAUUCGUGGUGUAGCGGUGAAAUGCUUAGAUAUCACGAAGAACUCCGAUUGCGAAGGCAUCCUUCUGGGGCAUGAUUGACGCUGAGGCUCGAAAGUGCGGGUAUC
rnacentral:rRNA from 1 species